rnacentral:rRNA from 1 species
UCCUGGCUUAGGACGAACGCUGGCGGCGUGCUUCAUUACAUGCAAGUCGAACGAGAAGUCAUCUUCGGGUGAUGGAAAGUGGCGGACGGGUGAGUAAUGUGUAGAGAAUCUGCCCUAGAGAGAGGGACAACAGUUGGAAACGACUGCUAAUACCUCAUAUGCGCGUAGCUGAGAUGCUAUUCGUGAAAACUCCGGUGCUCUGGGAUGAGUCUGCAUCUGAUUAGCUAGUUGGCGGUGUAAUGGACCACCAAGGCGACGAUCAGUAGCUGGUUUGAGAGGAUGAUCAGCCACAAUGGGACUGAGACACGGCCCAUACUCCUACGGGAGGCAGCAGUAGGGAAUUUUGCGCAAUGGGGGAAACCCUGACGCAAGCAACGCCGCGUGAUUGAAUAAGCCCUUCGGGGUGUAAAGAUCUGUCAGUAGGGACGAAACUUGACGGUACCUACAGAGGAAGCAUCGGCUAACUCCGUGCCAGCCGCAGC